UUACUUGUUUAUUUGCAGUUGUGGGCAUUGGAGACAUUGGAACCCACCGCGGAUGAGGCCAGCCGGGAGUAUUUUGUGGACCUUGAUGUCCCGUUAUUGGAGGGCCAUGAGUAUGUGCCAAUAGGGCACAUGGAGGAUCAGUCGGAUUGGGGCUUAGGUGCUAGGCAAAAAAGGAGAAGCUUUAAGGAGAAAAGAGCCUCUGGCGGCACGAAGCGGACGCGCACCGCCGCUGGUUUAGUUGAUGAGCUAUCAGGCCCUAAAUUGAUGGACGAAAAGGACAACCAUGGUCAAGGCAGUGAAUAGCCAUUGGACCAUGAGCCGACAGCUCCAAAACCACCCACUGGUCCUCCUUAGACACACAGUUGAAAUGACCCGUCGUUUACAAAAGCGACGACAAGUCCUCAAACACCGAUUGGUUUGGCUCUACCACAGACUGCUAACGAGCCGCCGUUGACCUAGUCGAGAAGAGUCAAUGAUGAACAGUCAC